rnacentral:rRNA from 1 species
ACGGGGUGCAGCAGGCGCGAAAACUUCACANUGCGGGAACCCGUGAUGAGGGAACCCCAAGUGCCUGGGCAUUAGCUCAGGCUGUUCNCCUGUCUAAAAAACAGGUGAAGUAAGGGCUGGGUAAGACCGGUGCCAGCCGCCGCGGUAAUACCGGCAGCCCAAGUGGUGNCCCUUUUUAUUGAGCCUAAAACGUCNGUAGCCGGUUCGGCAAAUCUCUGGGCAAAUCGGGCAGCUCAACUGUUCGACUUCCAGAGAGACUACCGAACUAGGGACCGGGAGAGGUCAGAGGUACGUCGGGGGUAGGGGUAAAAUCCUUUAAUCCUCGGCGGACCACCGGUGGCGAAGGNGUCUGACUAGAACGGAUCCGACGGUAAGGGACGAAGGCUAGGGGCGCAAACCGGAUUAGAUACCCGGGUAGUCCUAGCNGUAAACGCUGCAGG